ensembl:lncRNA
CGACAUGAGAACCAUACAGAGGCUUGAUAAAAUUUAGCAGAGACUUGGGCAGCAGCCCGUGUGGAAUCCAUUCGUUUUUCUAUUUAAAAAGGUGGGAGAGGGGAAAACCUUCAUUCCAAAGCUGCAAAUGAACUUACACCAUCUGCUCCUCUCCCAGCCAAGGAAUACAAUUCCAGGAAGCAGGAGAAGGGAGGCCUGUCGGGGCUGAUCGGUGAUGGCUGUCAGCUGUGAACAGUUGUUUAUCCUCAAUGACUAUUUCCACGUAGACUUCUAGCAGGGGUCUGCAGUUUCUGCAGUUCUUGACAUGGCAGAGAGGAAACAUAACCUCUGAUGCCGUGUACAGCAGUUCUCCACCGCCCCCCCCUUCCUCCACCAUUUGACUGACAUGUGGUGGCCUUGGCUGAGUCCUCCUUGGGACUCGGUAACAAACCCAGAGACAAAGAAAAGCCGGGUCUCGCCUGACUCUGACCCACCCCACAGGGAGCCUGCGCCGGCAAGGCAAGGAAACACCCUUCAGUUGUUCCAGGGACUAAGGUUUCACUUGGUUCAAAGAAACGUUCUUUGUGCUCUCAGGAACUAUGCUUCUGAGUAACAGCUGUCAGAGUCCUACACAAAUAGCUGCAUGUGGAUUUGCCACAGGAUCCGGGGCGGUGGGCUUUGCUAUGAAUUCUAACCCUAUGAUUUCAGCACCUUUUCUCUCCAUGUGUGUGGAGGGGAGAGGGGACUAGAAUCAUUUCUGGAUAGGAAGUCAUACAGGCAAAAAAAAAAAAACAACCCGCAGAAACAAACAAAAAAGAGGACGCUUUACUUUGAGUACAAAGGAGCCACACCUCGGCCUGAAAGGUCCUUCAAGAGAGAUACGGAACUGGACAGCUAAAACCACAUGCUGCCCAAGCCUCAGUGAGAGCGAGGUGAAACGGAAACUUCCUGUUUAUUUUAGUCCUUUAAAGCUGUGGGGGCGGGGAUUUAAACCAGGGCUGUAGGACUCGGAAGGAAUCACAACUGCUAGAUCAGUCUGGAAAAUUGUGGCACCCCCUGGCCCACGGACCAUGCCCUCCGGUUCCCACCUGAGGACUAGACAGAGGUAAUAGCAUAAUCAAGCAAAGGAGUGAGCCAGGACUACCACCAGAUGCUUUCAAUUAGCCAAUUUUAACCUUACAGCCUCCUUCUUGGGGUGGGGGAGGGGAGCAGGGGUGAGGAUGGAGAGCAAAUGCCAUCCUCGUUGUUUUUUUGUUUUUGUUUUUUUGUUUUUACACAAUAGAGGCCUGCCCCGGAGGCUAAAUGACCCAGUAACACACAAACAGCAAAACAAAGGCUGAGUCAGGACCUGGCUGGGUCUCAGGCCUUACCCCCAGAGCAGCUACUUCCUCCUAAAUACCUCUAAGCCCUCAUAUCUUGGGCCUUUAGUUUUAGCACCUGGGCUGCCAUGCUUUUGCUCCUAGUUACGCUGUUUCCACCACCUCCAUCUGGGGAUCUCUGUGGAAGUGAAACCGCACCGCAGAUGGGACUCAAGCCCUAUUGUGCCUCAGAUGGGACUUGAACCUACAAUCUUUAGCUUAGGAAAGGGGUUUGAACCCCAAAUCUCCCAGCUGAAACUGCAUACGUCGUCUCAGGACUUAAAGAAGCUCAGGUUCUUUGAGUCUUGGCGAGAAAGAAUUCGCAACAUCUAGAUGAGUGUAUGAGUGAAGAACUGGGAGAACUGCUGGUAUACCAUGAGCCACACCACACUGGCAUGUGGGAUCUUAAUUCCCUGACCAGGGAUCAAACCUCUGUUCCCUGCAGGAGAAGCUAGGAUUCUCAACCACUGGACUGCCAGAGAAGUCCCUAGAAGAGCUCUUUAUAUAUUUACUGAGAUGCGAUUGACACACAGCACUGCAUAAGUUUAAGCACAGAGGUCCUGGAACAUAGUGAGAACCAGCACCCCGCCCCCCACCGCCCCGGCUGCCAAGAUUUUUGAAUGAGUUAUUCAAUCAUGUAGUAUUUUAAAAUAUAUUCUUUGUCUAUUA